AGAACGCAAAAGAUUCUUCAAAAUCAAACUGUGUCCGGAAUUGGUGGGUUCUUGGUCUCACUGACUUCAAGAAUGAAGCCACGGACCCUGGCGGUGAGUGUUACAGCUCUUAAGGUGGCGUUUCUGGAGUCUGUCCCUUCUGAUGUUCAGAUGUGUUCGGAGUUUCUUCCUUCUGGUGGGUUCGUGGUCUCGCUGGCUCAGGAGUGAAGCUGCAGAUCUUCACGGUUGCUAGUAACACAAUAAUAAAGCUGCUUUAUUUUCCAGUGAAGAUGUAUGUGAUAGGGAGUGGAGGAAGAAAAAGGCCAGAAAAUUCCAUAGUUAGCAAAUAUACCUUUCUUACUUAAAAUUCUUUUUCCAAUGUGAGCCUUCUAAAGAGUUACUGAGAAAUUAGGUGAGCUCACCUCAUUUAAUGCAAUAGAUAUGUUUCUGAAAAAUAAGCAAUACAUAGGACAUUGGCCAAUUAAGAAUUCUGAUGAAGAAGAAUUUUCACAUCCGAAAGAGUAAAAAUGAAAAACGGUACAAAUGUAGUGGCUUUUAAAUUUCAAAACAAAUUAUUUUGAUAAGAUAAAUAUUCCUCUCAUAAAGUGAAAAUGGAAGAGACUGCUUGCUGGGUGUUCGUCAAAAUGGAGUUAGAUGGUCUGUCCCAGACUCCCCUGUUGUUAGUUCUGAGAACAGAAGUAAUGGUGCUUCUUCAGGACUGGCUCAUAGAAACCUGCCGUGUUCAGCCCCCACAAUCCUCUCCCUUCUGCUGGCUGGAAACAAAUGACAACGAAGCCUCACGUCUUGGAGAAACCACACUGCUGAGGAACUC
rnacentral:lncRNA from 1 species